rnacentral:rRNA from 1 species
UGGGGGAUAUUGCACAAUGGGCGCAAGCCUGAUGCAGCGACGCCGCGUGGGGGAUGAAGGCCUUCGGGUUGUAAACUUCUUUUGCUCUGAACAAGGCGCACUUUGGGGUGUGUUGAGUGUAGGGGUUGAUUAGCGCCGGCUAACUACGUGCCAGCAGCCGCGGUAAUACGUAGGGCGCGAGCGUUGUCCGGAAUUAUUGGGCGUAAAGGGCUUGUAGGUGGCUGGUUGCGUCUGUCGUGAAAGCUCAUGGCUAAACUGUGGGUUUGCGGUGGGUACGGGCUGGCUUGAGUGCAGUAGGGGAGGCUGGAAUUCCUGGUGUAGCGGUGGAAUGCGCAGAUAUCAGGAGGAAUACCGGUGGCGAAGGCGGGUCUCUGGGCUGUUACUGACACUGAGGAGCGAAAGCAUGGGGAGCGAACAGG